ensembl:snRNA U6 U6 spliceosomal RNA
GUACUUGUCUUGGCAGCAUAUAUACUAAAAUUAGAACACCACAGAGGAGGUGAGCACGGCCGCUGCAGAAGGAUGACAAGAAAAACUUAAAAAUAUAUUUUU